rnacentral:rRNA from 1 species
GACGAACGCUGGCGGCGUGCUUAACACAUGCAAGUCGAACGGAAAGGCCCUGCUUGCAGGGUACUCGAGUGGCGAACGGGUGAGUAACACGUGGGUGAUCUGCCCUGCACUUCGGGAUAAGCCUGGGAAACUGGGUCUAAUACCGGAUAGGAGCCAUUUUUAGUGUGAUGGUUGGAAAGUUUUUUCGGUGUAGGAUGAGCUCGCGGCCUAUCAGCUUGUUGGUGGGGUAAUGGCCUACCAAGGCGGCGACGGGUAGCCGGCCUGAGAGGGUGGACGGCCACAUUGGGACUGAGAUACGGCCCAGACUCCUAAGGGAGGAAGCAGGGGGGAAUAUUGCACAAGGGGCGCAAGCCGGAUGCAGCGACGCCGCGGGGGGGAUGACGGCCUUCGGGUUGUAAACUCCUUUCGCUAGGGACGAAGCUUUUUGUGACGGUACCUAGAUAAGAAGCACCGGCUAACUACGUG